rnacentral:lncRNA from 1 species
CGAGCCAUGCGCUCAAUUUCAUGUUUAUGCUCCUCCAGCAAGUCGGUAUCACUCUUUUCAGGAACGAACUUCAGCAGCUGUUCAAGCAUAUCUUUUGCUAGGUCUUCUUGCUCAUCCAUCUUCAAGAUUGCUUGUCGGAUUUCUUCAUUAGACAGCUUCAACUUGGAAAGGAGAAUGACACAAUUCUGGGCCCUCCGGCCAUCAAUCACAGAGAGCUCUUUCACCUUUCGUGUGGAGAGGUAAAGGUCUUCUGUUGAACCCAUCUCUUUCUGGUGUCUCUGAUACGCUGAGAACAUCUUUUCAAAAUCUUCUAGAUCCAACACCUUGAAUGCCUUUAAAUCAUCAAUCUCAUUCCAGAUUGUGCCAUGGAUCCUCUCCUCACUCAGCUUAGCCCAGUUGAAGGAUUUCAGUGGGUGUGAAGGCUGCGGGAUAGACUUCUUCUUCAGGCUGGUACCAGCACUGCUGAAGGUGGUUGUUGAAGGGGGUGGCACUCCCAGGCUGAAGAAAGGCGGUG